ACCUUGUUUCUUUAUUGAUUAAAAAAUAAAUAUGUGCUUUAAAAAAAACCAAAUAAAUAAUUUUUGCAUUAUCCCAAUAUUUUAACCUAAUUUUCCCUCAUCGUCUCCCUGCCUCUCUACGUACACUCUGCAUCCUCCCUCUUUCACUGGUAUCACUACAUCAAACACCACAUUCCAUAAUAAAUGAAUAUAAUACUAUUAAAAAGUAUUAUUAUAUCUUUGGUUAAAGAAGCGGUAAAAAAAAACAAAGGCAAAAAAAAUAAGAAACAAAAAAAGGCAGCAUACUUUUGAGAAAGCCCGCUAAAUUCUAGAACUCAUUUUUAGAAUAACAUAUUCAACAAGAAAGAAAAAUAAAAAUAACAAUACUCAGUCUCUCUUUCUCCGACGAUCAAGUAGGCAUCCCUCUUAGCUCUUCCUAUAUUUUGUUGUAAUCGUUUCUCUCAACUUUGGCAACCACCUUUUCCCUAUGUGAAUUGCUUUCCCUUUUUCGUUGAGAUUUACCAUUUUUUUUUAGUUUGCGUUUGGUGAUGGGGCUAAUUUUGAGGUUGAUGAUUAGAAGUUUAUGGUUUGUUGGGAAAAGAACAAUGACAAGAAGCAGAGAGAUUGAGCCAUGUUAUGGAAUUGCUCGAUGCUUUACUUUUGGCAGAAGUAGGAGCAUAGUUCUCCGUGAUCCUAACAUCCAACCACAGUUAGACUUAUCCAUGGAACAAUAUAUGAAAAUAGAUGAGCAGACUACUGUAAACCACUUCCACGAGAAGCUUCUCAAGCUUAAGGAUAUGAUGAAAACCAAGGUAUAAUGGUUAGAAAAAGUUGAAAAUAGACAACAAUACUCUACAUUUUUCCCACACUUAUUUAAUUAUUUUUAUAUUUAUGUUCAAAACUCAUUUCUUAUUAGUUAUUUUGGAAUAUAGUUUUGAUUUCAUGUAGAAUGUUAAAUUUAUGCAAGAGUUGGCGAGUGAUGUUGCACACUAAGUUCAUGAUGCCAAAUUUUCACUAGAACUUGUGUUUUUGAGAUCUUUUGUGAAGUUGUACUAUUUUUUUCAUCUUUUUUUUCAUACUUUUACACACUUUUAUUUGAGGGGAUACAUUCAUUUUCUUUUACUCAUGAUAUAUGUGAAUGCCAAAAAUUGGACAUGAUCCUGAGAGGGCCACAAUCAACACUCGAAAGAAAAGUUGAGGCUUUCCCCUAGUGACCUCGGGCACGUCAAGCAACCUCAUGUCUCACCCCACACGAGAAUUGCCCGUCUUGCCCCAUGCGAGGUUGUGACCCCUGGCGCAUCUCGCCCCACCUCGCCCAGAUGAAGGUCCAAAAGGCCACGUUUUGGCGUGCGUCGCCUAGCACGCCCACCAACGGCCUCGCGCCUCAGGUGCGUGCUGUAGCCUCUCGUGCACAACCGCGCCUCGUGCCACUGGCCCUCGGUAG